CCAGACUCCUACGGGAGGCAGCAGUAGGGAAUCUUCGGCAAUGGACGGAAGUCUGACCGAGCAACGCCGCGUGAGUGAAGAAGGUUUUCGGAUCGUAAAGCUCUGUUGUAAGAGAAGAACGAGUGUGAAAGUGGAAAGUUCACACUGUGACGGUAUCUUACCAGAAAGGGACGGCUAACUACGUGCCAGCAGCCGCGGUAAUACGUAGGUCCCGAGCGUUGUCCGGAUUUAUUGGGCGUAAAGCGAGCGCAGGCGGUUAGAUAAGUCUGAAGUUAAAGGCUGUGGCUUAACCAUAGUACGCUUUGGAAACUGUUUAACUUGAGUGCAAGAGGGGAGAGUGGAAUUCCAUGUGUAGCGGUGAAAUGCGUAGAUAUAUGGAGGAACACCGGUGGCGAAAGCGGCUCUCUGGCUUGUAACUGACGCUGAGGCUCGAAAGCGUGGGGAGCAAACAGGAUUAGAUACCCUGGUAGUCCACGCCGUAAACGAUGAGUGCUAGGUGUUAGACCCUUUCCGAGGUUUAGUGCCGCAGCUAACGCAUUAAGCACUCCGCCUGGGGAGUACGACCGCAAGGUUGAAACUCAAAGGAAUUGACGGGGGCCCGCACAAG
rnacentral:rRNA from 1 species